rfam:Vigna radiata var. radiata cultivar VC1973A chromosome 11, whole genome shotgun sequence
UUGUCCCCUUGAAUUCCCCUGACCACUUCAUUAGCAGCAACCUUAGCUUUCACUUCUGCUGAGGCUUUCUAGUUAAUCCUAUUGAAGUGUUUGGGGGAACUCUAGGAGCCAU